rnacentral:rRNA from 1 species
GAUGAACGCUGGCGGCGUGCCUAAUACAUGCAAGUCGAGCGAACAGACGAGGAGCUUGCUCCUCUGACGUUAGCGGCGGACGGGUGAGUAACACGUGGAUAACCUACCUAUAAGACUGGGAUAACUUCGGGAAACCGGAGCUAAUACCGGAUAAUAUAUUGAACCGCAUGGUUCAAUAGUGAAAGACGGUUUUGCUGUCACUUAUAGAUGGAUCCGCGCCGCAUUAGCUAGUUGGUAAGGUAACGGCUUACCAAGGCAACGAUGCGUAGCCGACCUGAGAGGGGGAUCGGCCACACUGGAACUGAGACACGGCCCAGACUCCUACGGGAGGCAGCAGUAGGGAAUCUUCCGCAAUGGGCGAAAGCCUGACGGAGCAACGCCGCGUGAGUGAUGAAGGUCUUCGGAUCGUAAAACUCUGUUAUUAGGGAAGAACAAAUGUGUAAGUAACUAUGCACGUCUUGACGGUACCAAAUCAGAAAGCCACGGCUAACUACGU